AACGAACGCUGGCGGCAGGCUUAACACAUGCAAGUCGAGCGCCUCGCAAGAGGAGCGGCAGACGGGUGCGUAACGCGUGGGAACGUACCCUUAUCUUCGGAAUAGCUCUGGGAAACUGGAAGUAAUACCGAAUGUGCCCUUAGGGGGAAAGAUUUAUCGGAUAAGGAUCGGCCCGCGUUGGAUUAGCUAGUUGGUGGGGUAAAGGCCUACCAAGGCGACGAUCCAUAGCUGGUCUGAGAGGAUGAUCAGCCACAUUGGGACUGAGACACGGCCCAAACUCCGACGGGAGGAAGCGGGGGGGAAUAGUGGAAAAGGGGCGAAAGCCUGACCAAGCCAGGCCGGGGGAGAGAUGAAGCCCUUGGGGUUGAAAAGCUCUUUCCCCGGAGAAGAUAAUGACGGUACCCGGAAAAGAAGCCCCGGCUAACUUCGUG
rnacentral:rRNA from 1 species